UUAAGCGACUAAGCGUACACGGUGGAUGCCCUGGCAGUCAGAGGCGAUGAAGGACGUGCUAAUCUGCGAAAAGCGCCGGCGAGGUGAUAUGAACCUUUGACCCGGCGAUGUCCGAAUGGGGAAACCCAGUGCAAUCCGUUGCACUAUCGUUAACUGAAUACAUAGGUUAACGAGGCGAACCGGGGGAACUGAAACAUCUAAGUACCCCGAGGAAAAGAAAUCAACCGAGAUUCCCCCAGUAGCGGCGAGCGAACGGGGAGCAGCCCGGAGUCUGAAUCAGCUUGUGUGUUAGUGGAACGGUCUGGAAAGUCCGACGGUACAGGGUGAUAGUCCCGUACACGAAAAUGCACAGGUUGUGAACUCGAAGAGUAGGGCGGGACACGUGGUAUCCUGUCUGAAUAUGGGGGGACCAUCCUCCAAGGCUAAAUACUCCUGACUGACCGAUAGUGAACCAGUACCGUGAGGGAAAGGCGAAAAGAACCCCGGCGAGGGGAGUGAAAAAGAACCUGAAACCGUGUACGUACAAGCAGUGGGAGCCUCUUUAUGGGGUGACUGCGUACCUUUUGUAUAAUGGGUCAGCGACUUAUAUUCUGUAGCAAGGUUAACCGUAUAGGGGAGCCGAAGGGAAACCGAGUCUUAACUGGGCGUUAAGUUGCAGGGUAUAGACCCGAAACCCGGUGAUCUAGCCAUGGGCAGGUUGAAGGUUGGGUAACACUAACUGGAGGACCGAACCGACUAAUGUUGAAAAAUUAGCGGAUGACCUGUGGCUGGGGGUGAAAGGCCAAUCAAACCGGGAGAUAGCUGGUUCUCCCCGAAAGCUAUUUAGGUAGCGCCUCGUGAACUCAUCUUCGGGGGUAGAGCACUGUUUCGGCUAGGGGGCCAUCCCGGCUUACCAACCCGAUGCAAACUACGAAUACCGAAGAAUGUUAUCACGGGAGACACACGGCGGGUGCUAACGUCCGUCGUGAAGAGGGAAACAACCCAGACCGCCAGCUAAGGUCCCAAAGUCAUGGUUAAGUGGGAAACGAUGUGGGAAGGCACAGACAGCCAGGAUGUUGGCUUAGAAGCAGCCAUCAUUUAAAGAAAGCGUAAUAGCUCACUGGUCGAGUCGGCCUGCGCGGAAGAUGUAACGGGGCUAAACCAUGCACCGAAGCUGCGGCAGCGACACUAUGUGUUGUUGGGUAGGGGAGCGUUCUGUAAGCCGUUGAAGGUGUCCUGUGAGGGGUGCUGGAGGUAUCAGAAGUGCGAAUGCUGACAUAAGUAACGAUAAAGCGGGUGAAAAGCCCGCUCGCCGGAAGACCAAGGGUUCCUGUCCAACGUUAAUCGGGGCAGGGUGAGUCGACCCCUAAGGCGAGGCCGAAAGGCGUAGUCGAUGGGAAACAGGUUAAUAUUCCUGUACUUGGUGUUACUGCGAAGGGGGGACGGAGAAGGCUAUGUCAGCCGGGCGACGGUUGUCCCGGUUUAAGCAUGUAGGCGGAGGUUCCAGGUAAAUCCGGUACCUUAUUAACGCUGAGGUGUGAUGACGAGGCACUACGGUGCUGAAGUGAUAAAUGCCCUGCUUCCAGGAAAAGCCUCUAAGCAUCAGGUAACACGAAAUCGUACCCCAAACCGACACAGGUGGUCAGGUAGAGAAUACCAAGGCGCUUGAGAGAACUCGGGUGAAGGAACUAGGCAAAAUGGUGCCGUAACUUCGGGAGAAGGCACGCUGAUAUGUAGGUGAAGUCCCUGCGGACGGAGCUGAAAUCAGUCGAAGAUACCAGCUGGCUGCAACUGUUUAUUAAAAACACAGCACUGUGCAAACACGAAAGUGGACGUAUACGGUGUGACGCCUGCCCGGUGCCGGAAGGUUAAUUGAUGGGGUUAGCGGCAACGCGAAGCUCUUGAUCGAAGCCCCGGUAAACGGCGGCCGUAACUAUAACGGUCCUAAGGUAGCGAAAUUCCUUGUCGGGUAAGUUCCGACCUGCACGAAUGGCGUAAUGAUGGCCAGGCUGUCUCCACCCGAGACUCAGUGAAAUUGAACUCGCUGUGAAGAUGCAGUGUACCCGCGGCAAGACGGAAAGACCCCGUGAACCUUUACUAUAGCUUGACACUGAACACUGGUCCUUGAUGUGUAGGAUAGGUGGGAGGCUUUGAAGCGUGGACGCCAGUCUGCGUGGAGCCAACCUUGAAAUACCACCCUUUAAUGGCUGGUGUUCUAACGUAGACCCGUGAUCCGGGUUGCGGACAGUGUCUGGUGGGUAGUUUGACUGGGGCGGUCUCCUCCCAAAGAGUAACGGAGGAGCACGAAGGUUGGCUAAUCCUGGUCGGACAUCAGGAGGUUAGUGCAAUGGCAUAAGCCAGCUUGACUGCGAGCGUGACGGCGCGAGCAGGUGCGAAAGCAGGUCAUAGUGAUCCGGUGGUUCUGAAUGGAAGGGCCAUCGCUCAACGGAUAAAAGGUACUCCGGGGAUAACAGGCUGAUACCGCCCAAGAGUUCAUAUCGACGGCGGUGUUUGGCACCUCGAUGUCGGCUCAUCACAUCCUGGGGCUGAAGUAGGUCCCAAGGGUAUGGCUGUUCGCCAUUUAAAGUGGUACGCGAGCUGGGUUUAGAACGUCGUGAGACAGUUCGGUCCCUAUCUGCCGUGGGCGCUGGAGAAUUGAGGGGGGCUGCUCCUAGUACGAGAGGACCGGAGUGGACGCAUCACUGGUGUUCGGGUUGUCAUGCCAAUGGCACUGCCCGGUAGCUAAAUGCGGAAGAGAUAAGUGCUGAAAGCAUCUAAGCACGAAACUUGCCCCGAGAUGAGUUCUCCCUGAGACUUUAAGUCUCCUGAAGGAACGUUGAAGACUACGACGUUGAUAGGUCGGGUGUGUAAGCGCAGCGAUGCGUUGAGCUAACCGAUACUAAUGAACCGUGAGGCUUAACCUU
rnacentral:rRNA from 1 species